GUUUUUGGUUUACGCUGUGAUUAAUGUUAAAUAAAUCAUACUCCUACCUUCACGCUUUGUCCGGAGUUGUCCGUUCUGCAUCCAGGGAGAACGACCCCGCCGUGUAGUGCGGACACAGCUUGCAGGUCCAAGUGUGCAACUCUGCAGGUGUGAAGGUGCUGCAAAGCUUCUAAUAUUUCCCGAAUGAAGAACGCCACCUUCUCUUCCAUCAGCUCAUCGUGGGCCACCAGCUCCAGAACCAGCAUCAGCGACGUGGGCGACUCGUAGGUGUCCAACAGCGUCACCAGCUGCUGACUGUGGACAUGCUGGAGGAUGUCGGCCUCGUGAGCCGCCUGCUCUUUCUUCUGCAUCUUCUUGCUCACAAACUUUACCGCAACCUGAGGACAAAACGCUCAUUCAUUCAACUUAUAACACAACUAUCAGUCACUCCAGGGUUGUGUCCCGAUGGCGUCCAUUUACGUAACCCCAAACCAAUCCCCGCAAGGUACAGUACGUGCGGCCUCGCAACUUUGUCCAAUGCCCGCAUCUUCCCCGCACCGUUUGGACAGUCAACUUUGUCUCUGAGUGGCGCUCAAACGCACACAUCAACUGUCUGAAUUCAAAUGUUUAAAACUGUCGUCCUCCCGCGUAGCUCAGACCUGCUUUCUGUCCCUGUUUUACGGCGCUGAGUCUUCAUGUAUUUGUAUUUAUUUAUUUCAGGCAAUGACAUAAAGAAGUACAAGUUGACAACACAUAAUAAUAUAAAUUAAUAUAGUGCAUGAUUGUCCAGUUUUGCCUGAAAGGGAGUGGGAAGAAGAUAACUUAUUUAAUCCCACCCCCAGUUCUCCAUUCAGUGAUUAUUCACAUGAGUUUCACUCUUACUUUGUUCAAGGAUUAUA